AAACAACAGCAUUUAUAUGCAUAUCGGUUUCGGCCCGAUAAGAGCGGCUACGCAUUGUUUU
rnacentral:tRNA from 1 species